rnacentral:misc_RNA from 1 species
UCAAACUUGGUCAUUUAGAGGAAGUAAAAGUCGUAACAAGGUUUCCGUAGGUGAACCUGCGGAAGGAUCAUUAACGUAUCUCUGGCGGGUGCGGGUGCGCCCUGCUCCGGACUCUGCUCCGUGCAGCGGGCCCCCGCCCCGUCCAACCCUCACAAACCCACCGUGAACCUUUGCGGCCAGAGGGCGUCCCGGCUCCGGCCGGGCGUCCGAAGGCCGAAUCACCAAACACUAGUAUCUCGAACGAUCGAGUGGCCAUUGCGUCACCUAAAACAUAAACAACUUUCAACAACGGAUCUCUUGGCUCUCGCAUCGAUGAAGAACGCAGC